rnacentral:rRNA from 1 species
GAUGAACGCUAGCGGCAGGCUUAAUACAUGCAAGUCGAGGGGCAGCAGUUUUGUAGCAAUACAGAAGCUGGCGACCGGCAAACGGGUGCGGAACACGUACGCAACCUUCCUUUAACUGGGAGAUAGCCCACCGAAAGGUGGAUUAAUAUCCCAUAGUAUAUUUGAGUGGCAUCACUUAGAUAUUAAAGCUCCGGCGGUUAAAGAUGGGCGUGCGUCUGAUUAGGUAGUUGGCGGGGUAACGGCCCACCAAGCCCACGAUCAGUAGCUGAUGUGAGAGCAUGAUCAGCCACACGGGCACUGAGACACGGGCCCGACUCCUACGGGAGGCAGCAGUAAGGAAUAUUGGUCAAUGGACGCAAGUCUGAACCAGCCAUGCCGCGUGGAGGAUGAAGGUCCUCUGGAUUGUAAACUUCUUUUCUUUGGGACGAAACCCCUGUUUCUACGGGGACUGACGGUACCAGAGGAAUAAGCACCGGCUAACUCCGUGCCAGCAGCCGCCGUAAAAC